rnacentral:ncRNA from 1 species
GGUUAAGUUAGGAAGGGCGCAUGGUGAAUGCCUUGGCACUAGGAGUCGAUGAAGGACGUGACUAACUGCGAUAUGCUUCGGGAAGCUGUAAGUAAGCAAUGACCCGGAGAUCUCCGAAUGGGGCAACCCCAUAACUGUGACUAGUUAUGAUCGCUGGCUGAAUACAUAGGUCAGU